ACGAACGCUGGCGGCGUGCCUAAUACAUGCAAGUCAACGGUCUUUCUAUGGAAGCUUGCUUCCACUGAGAAGAUAGUGGCGAACGGGUGAGUAACACGUGGGUAACCUGCCCAUAAGAGGGGGAUAACAUCCGGAAACGGGUGCUAAUACCGCAUAGUUUUCUUGAUCACAUGAUUGAGAAAGGAAAGACGGCCUUUGUGCUGUCGCUUAUGGAUGGACCCGCGGCGUAUUAGUUAGUUGGUGAGGUAACGGCUCACCAAGACGAUGAUACGUAGCCGACCUGAGAGGGUGAUCGGCCACAUUGGGACUGAGACACGGCCCAAACUCCUACGGGAGGCAGCAGUAGGGAAUCUUCCGCAAUGGACGAAAGUCUGACGGAGCAACGCCGCGUGAGUGAAGAAAAGGUUUUCGGAUCGUAAAACUCUGUUGUCAGAGAAGAACAAGUUGGAGAGUAACUGCUCCAGCCUUGACGGUAUCUGACCAGAAAGCCACGGCUAACUACGUGCCAGCCGCAGC
rnacentral:rRNA from 1 species